rnacentral:lncRNA from 1 species
AUGAGAAGCAAGAGGGAUGGGAAACCAGCAAAAGGUCCAGGAAGGGGAGGCACGCAACCUGAUUGGCUAAUUUUUCCCAAAAGAGAACCAGCCCUUCGGCAGUGCAGUUUCCAGAUUUGGGCCUUUCCACUGCACUGUCUUACCUGUAGAACAAAGAGAAGCAGAAGUCUUCCUGAAUGCUUUAUGAGACAAGACACAAACUCGUUAAAGAAGGAGUCCUCGAUCCAUUCUCCAGGCUGUUUUGUGAGCCUCACCAUCAAGCACAACACUUCACACAAUGGAUAUGAAAGGCAGAUGUUUAAGUGAAGGCUCUUUUGAGCAAAAAAGAAGGACUACCAGUCAUCAAAGAAUUCCAGAAGGCACAGUUCCUCGAGUCCAGACAAGACCAGCAAAUAAAACCAAAUUCCAGCGAGCUAGUAUUACCUGAUGUUCGUUAGUCUGGGGUGGGGGGGAUCAGAAUAGAAGUUUUCUUUAGAACUUAAUUAGAUUGGGAUGGUCGAUCUGCUCCUUAAGGAGGGGUGGGGGAAGCUGAGCAUUUAACAUUAGAGCAAAGAUCUUUUUCCCCAGGUCUCUGUAAGAGGACCCCCAACCCUAUCAAAAUGUGCGAUAAGGAAGUUACAUGUGUCAUUUUGAACUAGUUCAAACCAGCUAGGCUGCUCCCUGCUCUGAGCUGCUGGCUAUUAGCUGUCAUCCAGCCUGGAUGUGAGACAAGCAGGUGGAUAAGAG